rnacentral:rRNA from 1 species
GCAGUUAAAGCUCGUAGUUGGAUUUCGGAAGGUCCUUAGUAAUCCGCCCCUUCGGGGAGCGGGUUACUGGCCUCCUAUGUUCCUAACGGUCCUCAUCCGCGAGGGUGGGGAAUCAACCGCUAGGAUCGUUUACUUUGAGGAAAUUAGAGUGUUCAAAGCAGGCGUAACUCGCCUCCGAAUACGUUAGCAUGGGAUAAUGGAAUACGACUUCGGUCUUGUUUCGUUGGUUUCGCUUGGCUGAAGUAAUGAUUGAUAGGGACAGUUGGGGGCAUUAGUAUUUAGUUGUCAGAGGUGAAAUUCUAGGAUUUACUAAAGACUGACCAAUGCGAAAGCAUUUGCCAAGGAUGUUUUCAUUAAUCAAGAACGAAAGUAGGGGGAUCGAAGACGAUCAGAUACCGUCGUAGUCUCUACCGUAAACUAUGCCGACCAGGGAUCCGGAGAGUUUGCAUGGAUGACUCCCCGGGCACCUUGUGAGAAAUCAUAAGUGUUUGGGUUUUGGGGGGAGUAUGGUCGCAAGGCUGAAACUUAAAGGAAUUGACGGAAGGGCACCACCAGGAGUGGAACCUGCGGCUUAAUUUGACUCAAC